GAGAUCAAAACCUAACCCCACAUCUAAUCCAACCUCUAAUCCUUCAAUCCACAUGAUCCACAACUGUAACACCCGGAUUUUGGGGCACCAAAACCCAGGCACGAACAUAAUCACCAGGUGUGCUAGGACCAAGUCUCACACAUAUGAUGAAUCAUGGCAAAGGAUCGAAUGUCACAUUUUUACCACAUAACAGGAGUUCUAUACAAAAUAAAUAAAUAAUUACAUUAUAAGGAGACAACGGUCCAGCAACCCAAAGUUGACUGGGAGACGACGGCCUAGACCUCUCACGAACACAUCGCAGCAUCCUCCAUGCGCCUCAUCCUGCGGUACCUGUUCUUGACCUGUGGGGGGUGUGAGACAGCAAGAGUGAGCUCACAUACGUUCAUCGCUCAACAAGUUGUGGGGAAUAAUGUGCAUGAACUCGCCAAAGGUGGGAGCUCACGUGAAGUGUAAGGCUUACCAAAGGGAAUGGUUAGAGCUGAGCAUUGCUUUUAAAGUUGGUCAAAAUUUUAUUAGCAAUUACUAAGUAUAAGUAAAUACCAACCCAAUUAAGUAGUAGAACAAAAGUAACAACAUCACCUGUGAUGCAAUGCAUAUGACAAAAUUGAAUUUAGUUCCAUAUGUUAAUCAUGUGAGGGUCCGAGCUGCUCAUGACCGUGAGCACGGCUAGUAUACCAGUUUUACACUCUGCAGAGGUUGCACAUCUUUACCCACAAGUCAUGUUACCCAUCUGCCAAGGGAUCGCGACUUCCCAUACACCUCUACCGAGGAGGCGAGGCAGGGUAACACUACGAGGCCUUUACAAAGUUCCACUAGCUUCAGAAAACCCGCCGCCAUCGCAGCAAAAUCAACCAAGGACCUCCCUACACUGACCACUCCCCUACUGCCCUUGCCCCUUUCGGGUAAGGUAGUCUUCCACUAGCUUUCCUAAUUAAUCAGCCAAGGGCGUCCCAUUAAACCCUUGUGGUAGCACUGUUUUCUCGGGUGGUCGCUCCAUGUUCCAAUUAACAUAAUGAUCUUAUCAUGAACAGUAAUAAUAAAUAGAUAAUAAAAGUGUAAUCAUGAAUAAUGUAUCUUCAUACCCAAAACCACAUAAAGCACUAGCAAGUACUACCCAAAAAGUUCAGUGGUAAACAAGGCAUAAAGAUAGACAAACUAGGGUAACCUAUUAGGUCCCAUCAAAAUUAACCUAUGCAGAUCAUUAUGAUUAAUUAGAACAUGAGUGGGUAAAAGAAGUGAUCAAGGGCACAACUUGCCUGGGACUUGAGAUUUCCAGGUACCAGGAUGAUCUUCAGGUGACUCGUGACCUCACGCUAAACGUAGCAAUACAGACAAACAUGGUAUAGGCAAAAAUUAACAUUACACCAAACAUAAGAAUAAACUGCAUGAUAAUAAUCUACGCGUCAUAACGAGAUCGUAGAAACAAGAACCACUAAAUUCGGAGCUACGGUUAUGAAUUUUCGAAAUUAUUUAGUGCUUAGAAUAGAUUAAUCCUAAUGAACAAUUUUAAUUCAAGUUUCAUGGCUAAACAGUGUUACUGGUUGGUAGACAAUAUUAAUACAAAAUUAGUGAAACUGGAAUGGAUCAAUUCGGACUUAAUAUGAAUUUUCUACGAAUUAAACAAGUUUCUAGUAUUAUUUUUGUAUUGAAAAUCAAAUUCUAAAUUCAUUUAUCUGAUUUUCCCGGAACUCAGGACUGGGCGCACAAUAUUGAAAAGCGUGGGGACUAAUCGGCAAAGAUUCCUAAGACUCAGAAUCAUCCAACGCAGGACUGUGGGUUGAUUCCAAUAAAAUCCGAGGGCUCUUAAGAAAAACUCCCAUACCGAAAGGGUAUGCUUCAAUCCUAGUCAUCCAAUCAUGGACCAAAGGCUCAAAUUAGAUUGGGACUGGUAUGAACCGGUAUCCACUCCCCGCCAUCAGAUCAAGCAUCAACGGUAUGGAUUAAACCCGACCCUCUUCAAACUCGCGAACAACCCCAGCCGCUAGAUCACGAUCCAACCGCCAGCGCAACCGCUGGCCAAUCGGUUAAUCUGCUUCUAAUCUAGGCCCUCCAUCCAGGAUCCGACGGCGGCGCGGUCGUCACCAUACUCCAGGUCAACUCCCAACACCGGCGAGCGUCUGGGUGGUGGUGGCCUCGCCGGGGGAAGACCCGUUCCACACACCGAGCCCCCCAAACUCCGACUGGACAUGCUCUAGACAAAGCUACGAUUGCACCCAAGCUAGGCGACCCCUCACACGCCAAAUCACAAUGGGCCGGCGCCAAUCUACCUCCCAUGGCGGCCCCGCGACGCGGACGAGGUCCGGUGAGCAAUCACCGGCAAACCGUUGAACCAACUGCUACCCGGCCGGUGUCACACGAUCCCACGGAUGCACCAGAUAGACCAGGGUACUUACCAGAGAUCAGGAUGGCGCCAGGAAGAGCGUCCUCGCUCCACCGCGGCACGGCGUCGAAGCCCCACUCCGGUGAAGGAUUCUCGUUCCCCCCGGGGCCUACUUCCAGUUCGGGCGAACCACGCACGGGCCCGAAUGACUACACUGUCACGACCGGAUCGCGUGGUGAGGCUCGAGCGACGGCGGCGAUAUCUGGGGUCUUGCGGCGGCGAUUCCUUCUCCCUCACUCCCCACGGCUGCGGCAGAGGUUAGAUUUCUAGGGCUUGGGUUGGGGCUCGAGAUCCCAGAGGCUCAAUAUAUGAGGUACGGGCAGAGAUCGUGUGGUUUGGCCGGUAACGGAAUCCCCCGGAGCUUGCGGCG
rnacentral:lncRNA from 1 species